GCCGGGAUAGCUCAGGUGGUAGAGCGCAGGACUGAAAAUCCUGGCGUCGGCAGUUCAACUCUGCCUCCCGGCA
rnacentral:tRNA from 1 species